CUUCUAUGCAAAAAUUCAUUCAUUCGUUGUCAUUGUUCUUGUUUGGUCGUCCAGGUGGUUGGAUGAAGCUCGCUCAUCUUAGCAUUUGAAGUUGUUCCCUCACUCAACAUUCACAUCUUCUUUGCCUUAUUUUCUUGAACAUCAUAGAGCAUUUCUCGCGUCGUCUUUCUCGAGAUUUCAAUGGCUCGAGAACUCAUCCUUCACCAUCAGAGACCAUCUUCCUCACCUUCAGAGUCUUCAUGAGUCGAAGAGAAGCGGCAUGGAAGAGAUGAACAAGGUUGGUGUGCCAUUGGUCUACUUUCUAAAUAAGGUUGAUGCUGUUGAUGAUCCAGAGUUGCUUGAACUUGUGGAACUGGAGCUUCGUGAACUUCUCAAUUUCUACAAAUUUCCUGGGGAUGAAAUAUAAUGUGGGACUUCUUCUUCGUGGUCUGAAGCGCGAUGAUGUUCAGCGAGGAGUGUUUACAUGCUCCUAAUCAGAAACUUAGGGAGACAAUUGUUCCAAGUGCAAAAUCCUACUCGCUGGAAACUUAUGUCAGACUGCAGAGAUUACUUUCGACAAACCAACAGGCGGGUUUCCAGACUGCAGAGAUUACUUUCGGCAAACCAGCAGGCGGGUUUCCUUCUGAAUAUGCACUUUUUUAUGAAUG